rnacentral:rRNA from 1 species
UACGGGGGGGGCAAGCGUUGUUCGGAAUUACUGGGCGUAAAGGGUUCGUAGGUGGCCAACUUAGUCAGACGUGAAAUCCCUCAGCUUAACUGGGGAACUGCGUCUGAGACUGGCGGGCUUGAGUGCAGGAGAGGAACGCGGAAUUCCAGGUGUAGCGGUGAAAUGCGUAGAUAUCUGGAGGAACACCGGUGGCGAAGGCGGCGUUCUGGACUGUUACUGACACUGAGGAACGAAAGCCAGGGGAGCAAACGGG